CCUCGCCUUUCUUACCGUCUCCCACAGAAUUCAACUUUUAAAUUUGGUAUAAUACGUUUACAUAUAUUUUUUUUAGCAUAAAAGUGCCAUCAUAAAUGUACUCCAUAAGGAAAAGUUAUUUUUAGACGGCGGGUAGUCCGGGUUGUGUGACCAUGACCAAAACCAUGUAGGAGUUAGGGUUUUCGUCAACAAUUAUACAACUUGCAAAGUGUGUUUUUGUACAGUUUUGAGUGUUUAGCUGUUCGCCACCCAGGCGACCUCUUACCGUUUUUAGUUUUAUUUGCUUUAACUGCUCCGUACAGUAAUAAUUAUACUGCCGUGGGGCACGGGCAGUAAAGAAUGAAGCUGCCUAAAAUAUUGAUGUGCGCUGUGGCGAUUGUGUUUGUAGCUUAGAGGUGCAAGAUGCAUUGUAACGACCUAUUUCUUCGUCUUGUAAACUAGCUGUUUAAGAGCAAUGCCUACAUUUCGUAAAACUGAACAAUGAGAAGAAGCAAAGAACAGAAAAAAACAGGCAUUACACUUGAAAAAUAAUAGAGAGAACUUUAUUUCAUCAUUUCCACCUUGUUUGAAUCUCACUCCUGCUUCUCAACAUUCCCUGAUUAAUGGAAUAAAUUUACUCUUCUGCCAGGUGUACAGUGAAUAGUUAUUUUCCACAAAUGCUCUACUGUCUCCCAUUUUCAGUUCUUUGACCCCAGCAUUGGAGCAGUGUCAGUUCUUGUCAGAAUCCAUGACAGCGGAAGUGCUGGUGCAGGAAACCCAGAUAACUUGGAGCUGCCACCUCAAAUGCUUAAGAUUCCCAACACAUAAAAAAAGACGACUCCUAAGUGAACUGGAGCAGAGGGAUGUUGCCAAAAGUGUCAGAUCAUUUGGAUGCAAAAUAGCCACCACUGAAGUCUCUGUACUCACAGGUUCUAGACGUAUCAGCUAUGAAACUUCGGCCACAGAAGCAACUGGUAUAGAAUGCUAGCCAACCCAAUCUGCAGUGAAACAGAUUAUGGGAUGCCACCCAUUUCAAUCCUAGCCUUCAAAAAUGCCACCAUUUGAUCCCAAUCCAUUUCAGAUGUACUGUGUAAGGACCUGGUAAAUAUGAGAGCGGAAAGACAAAUUUAGACAGCUGCCCUUGGUGGAGUGCAUGAUCCAGGUCUUUUUUGGAGAGUGAUCAAAGCUCACAAAUGGCUGUGUUCAGGAGGUUCACAGCACAGGAUAUGCAGAAUGCAUUGAUAUUAGUAGGGUGGGUGGAUGCUGUGGAUCCAGUCUGAAAAUUGUUCUUGCUGAGAUGGCACAUGAUUUAUUUGAAUUUCUCUUUCCUUCAUCAAUUUUCACUGACUUAAAGUCCUCUUGGCUAGUCAAACUGGAGCAAUCUGAAAAUAAAAGUUUACAAGUAACCAUUU